UACAGAGGUCUCGAGCGUUAGGCGGAAUCACUGGGCUUAAAGCGUGUGUAGGUGGAUUGGUAAGUACCUUGUGAAAUCCCACGGCUUAACCGUGGAACUGCUUGGUAUACUGCCAGUCUUGAGUCAGCUAGGGGCUACCGGAACAAAUGGUGGAGCGGUGAAAUGCGUAGAUAUCAUUUGGAACGCCAAUGGUGAAAACAGGUAGCUGGGGAUGUGCUGACACUGAGACACGAAAGCCAGGGGAGCAAACGGG
rnacentral:rRNA from 1 species